UACUACAGUAGACCCUAGACCAAUCCCCACCCCUCCCGUGCUGCUCCUCUCCCCCAAUCCCUUGCUGCUCCUCCUCCUCCUCAAUCCCCUACAUCCGGUGAGCCGCCGUUGGACGCCUCUUCUCCUCUUUCCCUCUGGCAACCACGACCUCCCGCGGAUCCCCAAGCAGCAAGCUCGUCAUGGCAACGUUGGUUGAUGGUGCUGGGAAGAGAGGAGCAUAGGUGGUCGCCAUCGGUGGGAGGAGCGAACGGCCGCUGCGGCCUAUCUCUCUCCGACGCGUCCUCUAGGCUCGUCCUUCCCUCCUUCGUAGGGUCGCACGUCCGCCAUCGCGGCCGCGACCUCCGGCGAUCUCGUCAUGGCGAGGGUGGUUGGUGAUGCCGGGCGGAGCGCGAUGUGGAGGAGCGGGAGGCCGCCGCUGCCUCUCUCUCCCUCCGACGCCCCCUCCGCCCGCAUCCUUCCCUCCUCCGUAGGGGUGGACGUCCACCAUCGCUGAGCCAUUCAAGAUGACUCCAUCGUCCUUGCCCUCAGCCUGCAAGUUGCAAUGCUCCGCCUCCAGGUGCCUUCGCUGGUUCGCCCGUGCAGAAAGGAGACAAGGACAUGGGAGUGCUUGCGGGAAGCCUUGUUUGUUGGGUUGGUACAAGUGGAUGUGACAAGUCUGUUGGAGAUCUUCUCAAUGCAGUUGCCACUUUGUCCAUCGUCCUGCUCUCAUCAACUAUAUUGUGUCAGUGAAGAUAAAGGGCCAUGCACGGCUUGAUGCUUCCCUAUCAAUUCUUUCUAAUGUUGCUUCUGAAUAUUUGGAUAGUGGGAAGUUUGAAAAGCCUGUGGUGUAGGUAUGCUUUUGCAGUAGAAGACCAGAAAUAUAUAUGCUUCUGGAAAUUAUAAUCAAUGUAUGCCACUGUGCACACUAGAGAAAAAUUAUUAUGGUGACUUGGUAAUGUGAUUGUUUGAAUGCUAAUAUAGGAUAAUUUUACACUUCCAUUGAUUGGAUAUCAAAGGUACACCUUUCUUUCGAGUAGCGUAUUCUUGGUCAGUUUUAUAGGCAUACAAAUUCAGAUUGAUUCACGACGGCUAUAAAUUUAUAUUUUUAAUAAGCAAAGAUAUUUCAUUUAGGCUGAACUUCGAUUAUCUUUGUGUGCUCCUUCUGAUUACAUCAUCCUUCUUCUCUUUUCUAAUACCAUUUGUUCAGGAAAUUGUUAUUUGUUUUUAUUUGGUCAUACUUUGUCCAUGAUAGCAAGUACGACGGUCAUGAUCCUCUCCUCCUCCGACUACAUCAGUUUCAGCCUCAUCAAGCGCGUCAUGAUCCAGACUGCGCCAUUCACAGGAAUGUGUAUCUGGGGCUGCUGCUAACCUACAGGCAUAUUAUUUUACCAGGUGAUGACCAGAUCAACCUCUCCCCAGUUGGUUCUUGUGGAUGCAAGGUAACCAGAAUAUCUCGCUUAUCACUUAUUUGUUGAAAGAAGAGUUUACCUCAAUGGAUAUGUUAUACCGGCAAAAUUAUGAAUUUUUUUGGUAAAAAAGAGCUCCGGGCUGUGUAUGCACUAUGCACUGCUAUUUUUUGUUUACAUCUUGAGGUUUUGAUACAUGUGUCAAUCUAAAGGUAUAAUAGAUACCCCCAUGGGGGUCUCACAACGUGUUGAGCUUCUCAGCCACAGAGUUGUUGCCCCUCAUUCCUUUUCUUGAGAACAUUGUGCAUCGUUUCAUUAAGAAUUCGAAACUAAUGGUGAUCUCUUUCACCUUGCAGCUGAGCAUUAUUCUGGGAUAUGUCUCACGGUUGUCCUUGGUCUUUUCACCGAUUAAGAGACCCAGAGGUUCACAUGGUUAUUUUUUCCAGCUCCACUAAUUUCAUAUGUAGCAUGCUAUAGCAUGGUGAAGGAACACUAUCAGUUUUUUUUUUUUGAGAUGGACACUAUCAGUUACAGAAGAAAUGAAGAAUAGUGGUAAGAGGCCAGAAAGGUGUGUUAAUUUAAUUUCUAGGUUAGAUCGGGGUGGAGUUUAUUACUUUUCAUAGCAAACUUGCAAAAAGCAGUUGCAUGCAUUUUCGUUACAAAGAGAAGCUCAGCAGCAACAAUGAGUUUGUUACUUCUAUUACUAAGAUUUAGUUAAAGAGAAUAUUCCAUAUCAGCAAGCCUUCAUAAGCUUUUUCCCAAGUAUCUUCUAUUGAUGGCUUGUUUUUUAAAUACACAUUUGUUGAUGAAUUCUGUAAACAAAUGACACCUAUCUAUUGUCAGGACAGUGAUAAAAUAUGAGGAUUUUCCACACCGAGUCCAGCGAGCCACAGACGUGUCAGGAGAUGUUUCUUUGUAGGAAGAGUUGACAAUGAGAUAGACUUACACAUACAGUUUGUUGUGUUUUGGACUACACACAUCAGAUUUACUACAACUCUCUGUAGAGUUAACAAUAAUGAUUAUUUAAUAAUUAGUGUUUUAGAUGUUGAUUCAUGGCAAUGUGGAUAUUAUGGUUUACCCUCUUUGUGACUCUGGUUACAAUUUUCUAACAUUAUUUAUCAGAAUAUGAUGUUUCCGAUUCGAGAAAAUGAUAAGAGCAAGAAUUCAAUGGAAGAGUUUAUGAUGGACACAGUGAUUGCCUCUCUCUCCCUCUCUCUCUAUUGCUUGAAUAGUCAAAAUUCAUCAUGAUUUUUCAUGUUAUGGUCUGUGCUAAACGUAAACAUGAGUUUCUUUCUUUUGACUAUGUAACCUAUUUUAUUUGAUUUUGAUCAGUGCUCAUCUAGGUUGAAUGUGGUGUCCUUCUGCUCUUGUCAUCUCCUUGACGACCACUCGUCUUCAGGUGCAAGUGGAGCCGUGGCCAGAUGGUUUAUCCAGCAAUGGAAAUUUGUCUCUUGGUUCACCAACGGGGUCGCCUGUGUCUAGAUGCAAAAAAAGCCUGAGCCAGAGUUCAGCCACCGAUGUCGGAGGUUGUGCAGUAGCUGGCCUAUUGUGUAGAGAUCAGGUGUGAGGCCGGUGCUUGGUGGCGGCAUCGAUUAUCUCUGGCACGAGGAUUCCAGUAGCUAUUUUUUCUAGGAGAAGAAGUCCUUUUGCUACAAACAUUUUCAGUCUGGGGAGAGGUACAGAACAACUUACAAGUAUUGCAGCUUAUUUGGUUUUCAGUAUAAAUAAAAAUUGUGUACUGUCAUUUCCAGUUCGCUAGCUUUCCCAUUCUGGAAAAAGUAUGCUCAGUUCUGUUUGGGAGUAGAGAACCAUGGUUAUCAUCAUUGUCGGAGGCAAAAGCCAGAACAGUUUUAUUUCUACUUUCAAGUGUUGUGGUUUUAUAUUUUUGAAGGACACGGCUUACAUAUUUUGUGUGCUUAAAUAGCAAAGAUGUAACUUGAAGCAUUGAUGUUCUCUCAUGCCAACUGUUCAGACUGCAUCCAUUUGUUUGCACAAUACAGUACACUUAUGGUGAAAUUUGUGAUAUGGAACGUGAGAAGCCUACAAUUUCUUACGAUGAAAACAAUCAGCAUGUGCUUUAAAUACCAUUUUCUGGUAAAAAAGAGUUCCCGCCAUAUUUGUGUGUGCUUGGAAAGUUACUCAGCAGUCCGGGCUUUGAAUAGAGGAACCAAUUAGAAGCUUCACUCAAACUACGACAAUUUCAGCAAUCCGCUCUCGGUUUGGGUUGGGUGCUUGGGUUAGGAUAGGGUGCCGGUCAAUGUUUUUUUUUUCUCCUUGUGCAGAGGGCGGCGGUCCUUCUGGUAUGCGACAAGCAGUGCAACCUUGUGUAUAUAGAAUCAAUUCUAACAUUUAUGCCAAUAUUUACUAUUGUAGGAUACUCCAAACGUAGUUGGUAUUGUGGGUAAAAUAUAUGUUACUCGACCUUAUGCUACAAAAGCUUGGUGUUUGUAAGGCUGAGUGCCAUCUUGAAAUGUGCGACAAUGUAAAAUUUGCGUGACUGCUUUUUAACACCUCUAUAUAGCCGCUUGAACUGCUCUUGUGUACU